GACGAACGCUGGCGGCGUGCUUAACACAUGCAAGUCGAACGGAAAGGCCCUGCUUUUGUGGGGUGCUCGAGUGGCGAACGGGUGAGUAACACGUGAGUAACCUGCCCUUGACUUUGGGAUAACUUCAGGAAACUGGGGCUAAUACCGGAUAGGAGCUCCUGCUGCAUGGUGGGGGUUGGAAAGUUUCGGCGGUUGGGGAUGGACUCGCGGCUUAUCAGCUUGUUGGUGGGGUAGUGGCUUACCAAGGCUUUGACGGGUAGCCGGCCUGAGAGGGUGACCGGCCACAUUGGGACUGAGAUACGGCCCAGACUCCUACGGGAGGCAGCAGUGGAGAAUAUUGCACAAUGGGCGGAAGCCUGAUGCAGCAACGCCGCGUGCGGGAUGACAGCCUUCGGGUUGUAAACCGCUUUCGCCUGUGACGAAGCGUGAGUGACGGUAAUGGGUAAAGAAGCACCGGCUAACUACGUG
rnacentral:rRNA from 1 species